rnacentral:rRNA from 1 species
UACGUAGGGUGCGAGCGUUGUCCGGAAUUAUUGGGCGUAAAGGGCUCGUAGGCGGUUUGUCGCGUCGGGAGUGAAAACCUUGGGCUUAACUCAGGGCUUGCUUUCGAUACGGGCAGACUAGAGGUAUGCAGGGGAGAACGGAAUUCCUGGUGUAGCGGUGAAAUGCGCAGAUAUCAGGAGGAACACGGGUGGCGAGGGCGGUUCUCUGGGCAUGAUCUGACGCUGAGGAGCGAAAGUGUGGGGAGCGAACAGG